AAUAAAGUGCCUGAUUUAUAAAGGGACGCAAUGAUAAAGCGUUUAUGUCGCCGACCUUUAUUU
rnacentral:tRNA from 1 species